rnacentral:rRNA from 1 species
CGCGUAGGCGGACUUUUAAGUCGGAGGUGAAAGCCCAGGGCUCAACCCUGGAAUUGCCUUCGAUACUGGGAGUCUUGAGUUCGGAAGAGGUUGGUGGAACUGCGAGUGUAGAGGUGAAAUUCGUAGAUAUUCGCAAGAACACCGGUGGCGAAGGCGGCCAACUGGUCCGAAACUGACGCUGAGGCGCGAAAGCGUGGGGAGCAAACA